AACGCGAAGAACCUUACCAGGUCUUGACAUCCCUUUGACCCCUCUAGAGAUAGAGGUUUCCCUAGCAAUAGAGGAGACAGGUGGUGCAUGGUUGUCGUCAGCUCGUGUCGUGAGAUGUUGGGUUAAGUCCCGCAACGAGCGCAACCCUUGAUCUUAGUUGCCAGCACGURAAGGUGGGCACUCUAAGGUGACUGCCGGUGCAAGCUGUGAGGAAGGUGUGGAUGACGUCAAAUCAUCAUGCCCCUUAUGACCGGGGCGACACACGUGUUACAAUGGGUGGUACAACGGGAAGCGAAGCCGCGAGGUGGAGCCAAUCCUAAAAAGCCAGUCUCAGUUCGGAUUGCAGGCUGCAACUCGCCUGCAUGAAGUCGGAAUUGCUAGUAAUCGCGGAUCAGCAUGCCGCGGUGAAUACGUUCCCGGGUCUUGUACACACCG
rnacentral:rRNA from 1 species